GGAGGAUCUGAGGGGUUCACAUCCCAAGCACAUGUCUGUAAAAGUCACAUGUCUGUAACCCCAGCACUGAGAGGAACAGAGACAGAAAGCUUGUCAGGGCAGCCGGAGUGGCUCCAGAUCAAUGAAAGAUGUUUUGCUAAGGAAAUAGGCCAGAGAAUAAUGAAGCAGAACCUGGAAUCCUAAUGUGGCUUUUGUAGUAUCUGUACCCACACCAUGCCCACACAUAUACAUACAUGUGCACAUGUCCACACACCCCUUAUACAUACUUACACAUACACACACACCCCCGUAUACAUACAUACACAUGCCCCCACACAUACACCCGUAUACAUACAUACACAUGCCCAUACACCCCGUAUACAUACAUACACAUACACACACACACCCGUAUACAUAUAAUACACAUGCCCA
rnacentral:lncRNA from 1 species